rnacentral:snRNA from 1 species
CGAUGUGAGGAUGAUCUGGCUGAGACAUCUGUCCCUCUACUGUUUGUCAAGGUUGGUUCGGCUGAUCUGACUGGCUACGGGGGUGUCCCCUUCCACCCUCACCCCUCCAUGCACAUCCCUUCUGAAGCUGAGAACUCAGUCAAAGAGGAUGACCUUCCCCAGUAGAGGACUGUUCUUCAGUCAAGGGAUUACAAGUAGUUGUGCUGCUCUGGUUAGUGCUAUGUAGCCCAGGCUAAUCCUGAAUUCAUGGGCAUCCUCCUGCCUCAGCUUCUGGGUGCUGGGA